rnacentral:lncRNA from 1 species
AUAUACCCCUUUCCCAACAUACACUUCUCCAAAACAAUUACUAUACCAAAUAUCCACAACUAUUACUGUUGGGAACAAGAACUUGGUAAAGGAGUGUAUGCAGAAGGGCCAAAAGAACACAGAGAUAAGGUUGUGAUGCAUGGUCUGAGGUGGAUGGCAGCUAUGAUAAUGGUCAGGUGUGUGCUUGCGAGUGGAUAAGAAGAGGGUAUGGGCUGUUAGGUGGCUUAAAUUUUCAUUUCCCUGCUUUUGUAGGUUUAUCAUCAGUCACGUCACAGUAACCCUAACUUGUUCAAAAUGAUGUUUUUUCUAACAGAAAUUCUAACAUGGUUACACCGCUGAUUUUUUUCCGUAGCCAUUUGUGUUGAAAUAUUUUGUACAGAUUCAUACUGUGUGUUAGGAUCUUGGACUAAAUAUUAUAAAUGUUCUAGCAUUGAAAAGCCAGGCCCAAAGAAAACAAUCCAGGGACCUGAUCCUGCACUCCUUUCUGAGAUCUGCAGUAGCUAUAAACAGCCCAGCGUGACCCUCAGCCCCAGAUGUGUAAAAAGGUAACUACGCUUUAUUAUUUUUUAAAAUGGAUUUUGUUUGUUUUUAUUCCUAUGCUCCCACACAAGCGAGAUAAGUAGAGCAUGCUUCUUCCUCCUGCCUACACAUUUCUCUCCCUUGAUCCUUCUAGACCCCCUGUUGGAACGGAUUCUGUUCACACUUCCACUGGUGUAGUUCUGGAGUAACACCAUUGACUUCACUGGGGUUACUCCAGAGCUAGACUUGCAUAGCUGAGAAAAACUGGCUCUUUAUUUUUUCAGGGUCUUGACUUCAUAUUCUUUCUCCCUUCUUGCAUUCCAGCAAGAAUUUCCAGUUUGCUGCCUCCUGUUUGCUGUUGCUGUUAUAAAAUCUAUCCUGCCCUUUGGUU